CGCAACCGAUUGAUCUAGCCAUGAGCAGGUUGAAGAGAGCUCUAACAGGUCUUGGAGGACCGAACCCACGUAUGUGGCAAAAUACGGGGAUGACUUGUGGCAAGGGGUGAAAGGCCAACCAAGAUCGGAUAUAGCU
rnacentral:ncRNA from 1 species